CCUACGGGAGGCAGCAGUGAGGAAUAUUGGUCAAUGGACGAGAGUCUGAACCAGCCAAGUAGCGUGAAGGAUGACUUCCCUAUGGGUUGUAAACUUCUUUUAUAAAGGAAUAAAACGAGGCACGUGUGCCUUUUUGCAUGUACUUUAUGAAUAAGGAUCGGCUAACUCCGUGCCAGCAGCCGCGGUAAUACGGAGGAUCCGAGCGUUAUCCGGAUUUAUUGGGUUUAAAGGGAGCGUAGAUGGGUUGUUAAGUCAGUUGUGAAAGUUUGCGGCUCAACCGUAAAAUUGCAAUUGAUACUGGCAGUCGUGAGUACAGUUGAGGUAGGCGGAAUUCGUGGUGUAGCGGUGAAAUGCUUAGAUAUCACGAAGAACCCCGAUUGCGAAGGCAGCUUACUAAACUGUGACUGACAUUGAUGCUCGAAAGUGUGGGUAUCAAACAGGAUUAGAUACCCUGGUAGUC
rnacentral:rRNA from 1 species